rnacentral:rRNA from 1 species
GUUGAACGCUAACGGCAUGCUUAACACAUGCAAGUCGAACGGCAGCACGGUCGUAGCAAUACGAUGGGUGGCGAGUGGCGGACGGGUGAGUAAUAUAUAGGAAUCUGCCUUGUAGUGGGGGAUAACCCGGGGAAACUCGGGCUAAUACCGCAUAAUCUUUACGAAGCAAAGUGGGGGAUCGUAAGACCUUACGCUAUAAGAUGAGCCUAUAUUGGAUUAGCUAGUUGGUGGGGUAAAGGCCUACCAAGGCGACGAUCCAUAGCUGGUCUGAGAGGAUGAUCAGCCACACUGGGACUGAGACACGGCCCAGACUCCUACGGGAGGCAGCAGUGGGGAAUAUUGGACAAUGGGCGAAAGCCUGAUCCAGCAAUGCCGUGUGUGUGAAGAAGGCCUUAGGGUUGUAAAGCACUUUUAGUGGAGAAGAAAAGCUCAUGGGUAAUAUCCAUGAGUGCUGACGUUAUCCACGGAAAAAGCACUGGCUAACUCUGUGCCAGCAGCCGCAGUAA